AUGCCUGGGAGUGUCCAUAACUCUCCAGGGGGCACUUCUUGUACACGCGCUCACCCACAUGCUCGCGCGCGCGCUCGCGCGCGCACACACACACACACACACGCACACGCACGCAUCUGGCGCUUGAAUCGCAGAUAACCUGACCCGACACUAACCUUGGCAGGGCUACAGACGUAACAUUUUUACCAGGAUGAACUGCUGUUGAACAAUUUCUCCAAUGCAUUAGUCAUGCUUCAACUUUAGACAUGCAGGUUUUUAAACGCUCUUUAAUGCACGCGGCUUCCUGAUGUGGUGGAGGAAAGGAGAGUAUUAUCAUUUCUGAAUGCCAGAGUUAUUGGCGCACUCAUAAUAUAAAAGCCAUCAAGUGUCACCGAUAUCAAGGGAUUCUCUUUCCUAAAGCAGGUGGACCUAUCUUUUGGGAGUUCCUUUGAAUUGCCAGAAUUGAGAAAUCACAGAAUUGCCUGUAGAAACCGAAAUGGAAAACAGUGACGGAGUCAGCAUAGUGCUUUGAACAGCAAAUGGACCGGCGAACACGGAGAAAGCGAGGCAGGCCUCCUUUUACUCCACCAGGGAUUCUGCCUGGCCUCUUUGAGCUCGAGUGUUCUCAGGCUCAGGUCACAUGAAGACAUCAUUAUCGCCUCAUUGUUCAGAACACCUGGCCAGAGAGACCGGAGGGUGAACAAUUGCUGGAUGACAAAUGGCCUUAAGCGCUGGCCUGCUUUGCCUAAUUGUACAGCUGUCAUGGUAAUAAACCACAUAGUAAAGAGAAGAACCCACAGAGCUCUGCGUUAGAGCUUGUAGAGCAACCGCCAUGCAAUCAAAGUAUCAGGCUGCAGGAGUGGCAGAAGCCAUUUCUAGAGUGUGGUUGACCUAGAUGUUGCACUUGGGCUGUCAUGUGGGUGCUGCUCAUUGGAGCCACACGUGAGAACGGUGAUGACUCGGGCUCUUCUGCUCGCUUGCUCGGAUGUCUCAGUUCCUAACUGUGUCCUCUAGCUCUUUAAACCGGCAGAAGGAGACUGUGAAAUCUGCAAGAUCCUGUAGGAGUUGAGGUGAUAGGGCCCAGGUACGAAGCUCAAGCCCGGAGCUCUCCGGAAUGUUGUCUGGAUCAGUGAAGAACUAGAUACUGUGACAAGGGUGCCAGGAAUAAAGAAAAGGAGGAUCGUUUAUUUAGAGAUCA
rnacentral:lncRNA from 1 species